CAACGAUGAAGAGUUUGAUCCUGGCUCAGGAUGAACGCUAGCGGCAGGCCUAACACAUGCAAG
rnacentral:rRNA from 1 species